AUUUAGCCCUGAUGGGAAUGGAAAUAAAAAAACCUUUCUGGUGUUCAGAAAGGUUUUUUUAUUGCAAUGUACAGCAGGAAUUACG
rnacentral:sRNA from 1 species